rnacentral:rRNA from 1 species
AACGAACGCUGGCGGCAGGCCUAACACAUGCAAGUCGAACGCUCCCUUCGGGGAGAGUGGCAGACGGGUGAGUAACGCGUGGGAACAUACCUAGUGGUACGGGACAACUCAGGGAAACUUGGGCUAAUACCGUAUAAGCCCUACGGGGGAAAGAUUUAUCGCCACUAGAUUGGCCCGCGUUGGAUUAGCUAGUUGGUGGGGUAACGGCCUACCAAGGCGACGAUCCAUAGCUGGUCUGAGAGGAUGAUCAGCCACACUGGGACUGAGACACGGCCCAGACUCCUACGGGAGGCAGCCAGUGGGGAAUAUUGGACAAUGGGCGCAAGCCUGAUCCAGCCAUGCCGCGUGUGUGAUGAAGGCCUUAGGGUUGUAAAGCACUUUCAGUCGUGAAGAUAAUGACAUUAGCGACAGAAGAAGCCCCGCUAACU